AAUAAUGGAAUAGGACUUCGGUCCUAUUUUGUUGGUUUGAUAGAACUGAAGUAAUGAUAAAGAGAGACAGACGGGGGCAUUUGUAUGGCGGCGCUAGAGGUGAAAUUCGUGGACCGUCGCCAGACAACCUAAAGCGAAAGCAUCUGCCAAGUAUGUUUUCAUUUACCAGGAGCGAAAGUCAGAGGUUCGAAGACGAUCAGAUACCGUCCUAGUUCUGACCAUAAACGAUGCCAACUGAUGAUCCGUGGUAGUUCUUUCAAUGAUCACACGGGCAGUCUCCGGGAAACCUGUAAGUCUAUGGGUUCCGGGGAAAGUAUGGUUGCAAAACUGAAACUUAAAGGAAUUGACGGAAGGGCACCACCAGGAGUGGAGCUUGCGGCUUAAUUUGACUCAACACGGGAAAUCUCACCCGAACCGGACACUGUUAGGAUUGACAGAUUGAAAGCUCUUUCUUGAUUCAGUGGCUAGUGGUGCAUGGCCGUUCUUAGUUCGUGGUACGAGCUGUCUGGUUAAUUCCGAUAACGAACGAGACUCUAACCUGCUAAAUAGUACAUUUGUGAAUUUAUAUGUGUUCUCCGGCCUAUCACGAAAGUGAUGAGUUGGAGCCAUAUAAGCAGGUGAGACUUCUUAGAGGGACUGGCACUUUAUAUAAAGUGCACGAGGAAGAGCAAUAACAGGUCUGUGAUGCCCUAAGAUGUCCGGGGCCGCACGCGUGCUACAAUGACGAUGCAAGUGAGCAUGAUUUGCUUGUCCGAAAGGAUCGGCAAACCUGUUUAAUCAUCGUCGUGACCGGGAUUGGGGUUUGCAAUUAUCCCCCAUGAACGAGGAAUUCCUAGUAAGCACAAGUCAUAAGCUUGUGCUGAUUACGUCCCUGCCCUUUGUACACACCGCCCGUCGCUACUACCGAUUGAAUGGUUUAGCAAGGUUUUUGGAUUCGGUCUAGGUGGUGCAUGCUGCUUAGACUGGAGAAGAU
rnacentral:rRNA from 1 species